rnacentral:rRNA from 1 species
AUUGAACGCUGGCGGCAGGCCUAACACAUGCAAGUCGAGCGAGCGUCGGACGCGUGAGUAAUGUAUGGGGACUGCCCGCUAGAGGGGGAUAACUACUGGAAACGCUGGUUAAUACCGCAUACUCUCCGAUUACCCAUAUGUGAGUAGCUAGUCGGUAAGUGAAUGGCUUACCUAGGCGACGAUCCCUAGCUGGUCUGAGAGGAUGAUCAGCCACACUGGGACUGAGACACGGCCCAGACUCCUACGGAGGCAGCAGUGGGGAAUAUGGCACAAUGGGCGCAAGCCUGAUGCAGCCAUGCCGCGUGUAUGAAGAAGGCCCUAGGGUUGUAAAGUACUUUCAGUCGGGAGGCGUUACCGACAGAAGAAGCACCGGCUAACUCCGUGCCAGCAGCCGCGGUAAUAC